GGUUGCUUGUUUGUUAGUAGAGGAUGGUUAUAGAGUAUGUGAGCGAAAUUUGUGUUUUUCCUAGAGAGAAAGAGUACCGUGUGGGAAGAUUUGUUUAUUGGUUUAUAAAAUUAGGUUGUUUAGUACCUUUUGUAUUAGGGUUGAUUAAUGGGGUGUGGUUUUUGUCUGGUUCUCGAUUAAUCUCGGGCUAUUUUUUCUUAUUUUAUUCUCGUUGUAUAGAGUUGAAUAGGAGAUUAUAGGUAUGAAAUAUUAUUCAAGUUGUUUUUUAUCUGGUUCUUUAAGAGAUUUAAUUUUUGGUGGUUAUAUUGGGGAAAUAAGCAGGGAUUAGCUUGUUUAUGGUUUAUAUAAUUAGUUUUGUUCUUUUUGUGUGUUGAGUUGAUAGUGCUAAUUUUUAUGGAGUUAUUAUUGGGCAAAUUUUUUAGAUUAUUUUUUGUUUUUAUGUUGUUAUUAGGGUUAUUUUAUUAAUUUUAAAUGUUGGGGGAUAAUGAUUAUAUUAGUAAUAUUUUGUUUUAAAUUGAGUUGACUAUUGGGUUAAAGUUUAAUAGUUGAUCGUAGGUUGUUUUGGUAUUAAAAUUAGAGUUGAUGAAUUAGGCAAGGGUUUGGAUUUCUGACUGUUUAGCAAAGACAUUGUUUUUUGUUAGUGUAAAAAAUAAGUUCUGUCCACUGCCGUUGGGGUGAAGGGCUGCAGUAUUUUGACUGUAUGAAGGUAGCAUAAUCAUUAGUUCUUUAAUUGGGAGCUGGUAUGAAGGUGAAACAGAGAUUUGCUGUGUUUGUUCUAUUUGUUGAAUUUUAUUUUCAUGUGAAAAAUCAUGAUUGUGUUAAUGGGACAAGAAGACCCUAAUAAAUUUUAUCUUUUGUUGUUGUUGGGUGCAUAGGGUUAGGGAUUAGUGCGAUUUGGCUUGGGGGAUUUGACUGGGGCGGUUGUUUAAGGUAAACGUGAAUUAAUAUUUAACUUUGUAAGGCGGAAAUUUGGACCUGGGGUGUUUAGAUGAAUGAAAAAUUACUGUAGGGAUAACAGCGUGAUUUUAUUUGAGAGUUCUAAUUGACAAUAAA
rnacentral:rRNA from 1 species